UCUACCUUGUAUCAGGAAAUUGGCCCGCUCUGUUUUCCAAGCGGGAAGGUGGGUCAUUCGAGUGUCCAGCUCAGUACAGCUCUAGGGAAACGUGUGCCACCUUGUUCCUGUUUGGAGCUGCUCACUAAUCCAAGUAUAAAGCUGCCUGUACUAGGAGGAACAGUGCCUAGGUUUGGUUGAAGCCUUGCAAGGGCUAAAGUUUCCAGCUGUUGGCUGUAUCUGUGUUGGAGCUCUUGCGGCUGCGUGUCUGGGUUCUGGUGUGCAGAAGUCCCCCUGCUCUGUGCGUGCAGAGGAGCAGGCUUUGCCGUGCAUGUGUAUGUGGGUUCUUGUUUGUUUCUUUUCAAGCUGUCGUUUUUGAAUAUUUGCUGCCAGGGGCUACCAGUCUAUUCCUGCAGUCCUUUCCUAGACACUCACCCUUUCCCACUUCCAAAUGUACCAGUUAUCUUUCCCAGGCUUUCUCUCCACUUGUUCUUUAACCAGUCUCCUCUGCUGCCACUUUGCUCCAUACUGAAAGGACUUGGGUGAUGAAGCUUUUGAGAGCUUAUCCUGAAUGUGUUUAGGACUCUGAUGCAAGGUGAACAGAGGUACAAGCUUAUGCCCACAGAACUGCUACGUGCCUGAUUCAGACAAACAGUUUUAAAGCUACACAUAACUAGCUGGUCAGCUCAGAUCGCAAAAGCCUAAUCAGCAAAACUGAUGCAUAUGCGUUCUGCUUCCACCCCAUACACAAACUGUGCCGAUAGCGGCUGCUACCACGUGUGUACUGUGCUCCUGUGACAGCCUUGCUACUGAUCCAUCUGCCAGGGACUUAACUGAGCAGUGUCAGCCAGAUAACACUGAAAAGGACAGCUCUGCUGGCCAGAGGCCCAGCAGGGGAAAUGCUGUGCUCUGCAGCUUUUGCAAGGAGUUUAAAGGCUCUGACCUAGUCUGCAAGUCACAAUUUAACCCAGGAAGAGACAGAGCUUCCUCCUAUCUCCACUGGGAUGACCAGGGUUUAGCCUCUUGAGUCAUCCUGAGAUCUCUGGCUGACAUCUCUGGUUAAGCUGGGCAUGGAGGCAGAUACAACACAUCACCCUUCUCGCUUGGAUCUUCUCCCCAGACUGUAUCAUGAGGCCUAGGUCAACGGAGGAGCGGGGUACGCAGGCGAGCCGCCAUGGCAGUUAGUGAGAAAUUUUGGAGUUUCAUUUUUCCUGACAAGGAGUUGACGAUUAAAUCUUUGAGGUCUCUCCCAUCCCACCCUCAACCUCCUCUGCUUUGGAUUGCAGAGCUGCAGACAGCAAGCACUGUGGAGGAUGUACAAAGAAAUACUUUUACAGGUAGAGCUAUUGUGCAAAGUUAGAAAAACAGGUGAGAAGACCCUUCUUGUAGAUACUAUUUUUAUUGCAUUUGGUGUCAAGGGAGACGCAUGUAAAAUUUAACAUGAAAAGACAAAUCUCAUUUCCUUUUCUGAAUGUAUUCUUCUGAUUCCAAGCAGUGCCAUAUGUGUGAGUGCUUUUUCUGGUCAGAUCCUGACCAUCGCUUUUCAAGGGAGUGGGCGGCUGCAUGGGAUGAGAUGUUGGAAUGCCGCGGUCGUGUUACUAGGGAAAUUAUGGUGGCUUCUCUCUGGCAGUGCCCAAACCCUGCCCCCUUCACAGUGUUCCUAGGGAUUAGUAUUAUAUGAUCAGCAUCAAACAGCUUUUGCAUCACUUGCUGGAUAGGGUAUGCUAACUAAUGUCACACAAUAUCAAAACUGGUAGUGGUUCGAAGAACUGUUUUCCUCUUUUGGAGUCAAGGCAAUACAUCACUGAAUGAUGACAUUGCCUGUGUUGGAGACACAUUCCUGAGAGCAGGACAGAUCCACGGGAUAGUGGGCAGUAAAGAAAUGCAGCUUUUUGUGAAGUUCUUAGAAAGCUUUCUCUCUCCAUCAUUCUUUCAUCUGCCUUCAAAAGUCAGUGGUAUCAACUACCCCAUGAGUGUUAAAAUGAUAUGAAACAAACUUCAGCCUAGAGCUUACAGCCUUUGCGGUAGGAAUGCUCAUUUUCUUUUUGUGAAUUUUAGCCUGGUGUGUCAGAAAUAAAAUAACCUUAAGGUGAUAGAUAAAGAGGUUGCUAAGAACAGAAAAGCUGUAGAGGCUGCUUUAGCUCACUAAGUAUUUAAAAAUGAAAUGUAGAUAUUCUUUAUUUUGUAGUGAUACACUGUAAUUGCUUUACAGAGUCCAGCAUUAUCGGUUGCAUGUAAAGACUACAGAUGAACUUGCCAAACUGGAGCUCACAAAACUAGUGCAUUUAUCCCAAAGCAGACUAAACCUUCUAACUUCUUAAAAAAAUACAUUAACGUACCACGCACACACACACGCGCACGCACACACACACAUACACACACAUAUAUUGCACUUUUCUCCAUAUGAAAUUUUUACCCCAUAUACAUCACACCAAAGUCUCUUCAAAGGAUCCUGUAAUACAAGAUAAUAAAGCUAAUAAUUACUCUAGCAGUAGUAUACGCAGUCCUCUAAUGUUAGACAUAACAGACUUGAACAGAAGAGCCACUUCAAAGUAGCAUGAAUACAAAGAGGUGCCCAAGGGAUACUCUGCUGUGGCACUAGAAGUCUUUUAUUCUAGUUGGCUUAAAGGAAAUUACAUGAAAUGUUAAAUAGGUGGUUGGUUGAAGGGAAUGGUCUAAACUACAGUCCAAAACUCUCUAACUUCCCUCUUACCAGCACUGCAAAGCUUAAAUCAGCUUACACUAGUUGGCACAUACUGGCAAAUGAAUCAUGCAGCUCUGUUCAGAGCAGAAUUAUUUUUGAGUCCUGAAAUGUACGGUAGCAUAGCGUUGGACAGGGAGGGAAACGGCUGUGGUUACAGCAGUAACCCAGCUCCCACUGCAGAACUGGGCCUGUCGCCUUAGGUGUUACAUAUGUAUGUGUCUCAUUAGCACUUUUCCUUGUGCACUAGGUCUGAUCUCACAUGUCCAAAAAAAGUGUUACUUUUAUUAUGCUGAGGGGCAGGGAAGAUGGACUGAAAGGACAGGACUUUGUGUUGCCUCCUUUUCUCUUCUGCAGUAGUGAAAUGCCUGGCUGUUGUUCUUUUGUUGUGCUUUUCAGCUGUUUCCCUUCUCUUUAUUAGUCACUUAUGGGGGGGUCAUAUGGGUUUCUGUGUUCCAUAGUUAUUUACUUCUUCAUAAGAGGGUUUUAUUGAGUUAAUUCCCUCCAAAAUCAAACUUGUCUAUCAUCUCAGUUGUUUAAAGUUUUCUAGCUGCCUG